rnacentral:rRNA from 1 species
GAUGAACGCUGGCGGCGUGCCUAAUACAUGCAAGUCGAGCGAACGGGCGAGAAGCUUGCUUCUCUGAUGUUAGCGGCGGACGGGUGAGUAACACGUGGAUAACCUACCUAUAAGACUGGGAUAACUUCGGGAAACCGUAGCUAAUACCGGAUAAUAUUUUGAACCGCAUGGUUCAAAAGUGAAAGACGGUCUUGCUGUCACUUAUAGAUGGAUCCGCGCUGCAUUAGCUAGUUGGUAAGGUAACGGCUUACCAAGGCAACGAUGCAUAGCCGACCUGAGAGGGUGAUCGGCCACACUGGAACUGAGACACGGUCCAGACUCCUACGGGAGGCAGCAGUAGGGAAUCUUCCGCAAUGGGCGAAAGCCUGACGGAGCAACGCCGCGUGAGUGAUGAAGGUCUUCGGAUCGUAAAACUCUGUUAUUAGGUAAGAACAUAUGUGUAAGUAACUGUGCACAUCUUGACGGUACCUAAUCAGAAAGCCACGGCUAACUACGUG